rnacentral:rRNA from 1 species
GGGCUGCAGUAUAUUGACUGUACAAAGGUAGCAUAAUCCUUAGUCAUUUAAUUGGUGACUUGUAUGAAGGAUUGGAUGAGAUAUAAUCUGUCUCUUAAUUAUAAAGUAGAAUUUAAUUUUUUAAUUAAAAAGUUAAAAUAUGUUAAAAAGACGAGAAGACCCUAUAGAGUUUUAUAAUUUAAGAUAAUUAAGAUUAUUUAUAAAAUAAAAAUUGAAAUUAUUUUAUUUAUUUUGUUGGGGUGACAGAAAAAUAUAAAAAACUUUUUAUAUAGAAAAACAUUGAUAAAUGAUUAGAUGAUCCAAUAUUAUUGAUUAUAAGAAAAAAUUACCUUAGGGAUAACAGCGUAAUUUUUUUUUUUAGUUCACAUAAAAAAAAGAGUUUGCGACCUCGAUGUCGGAUUAAGAUAAAAUUUAAAUGCAGAAG